UGGGGAAUAUUGGACAAUGGGCGAAAGCCUGAUCCAGCGACGCCGCGUGUGUGAAGAAGGCCUGCGGGUUGUAAAGCACUUUCGAUGGGAACGAAAUGUGCCGGGCUAAUACCCCGGCAAGCUGACGUUACUCAAUGAAGAAGCACCGGCUAACUCUGUGCCAGCAGCCGCGGUAAUACAGAGGGUGCGAGCGUUAAUCGGAAUUACUGGGCGUAAAGCGCACGUAGGUGGCGACGUAAGUCGGGUGUGAAAGCCCCGGGCUCAACCUGGGAAUUGCAUUCGAGACUGCAUUGCUGGAGUACGGAAGAGGAAGGCGGAAUUCCCGGUGUAGCGGUGAAAUGCGUAGAUAUCGGGAGGAACAUCAGUGGCGAAGGCGGCCUUCUGGUCCAGUACUGACACUCAAGUGCGAAAGCGUGGGGAGCAAA
rnacentral:rRNA from 1 species